GACGAACGCUGGCGGCGUGCUUAACACAUGCAAGUCGAACGGAAAGGCCCUGCUUUUGUUGGGUUCUCGAGUGGCGAACGGGUGAGUAACACGUGAGUAACCUGCCCUUGACUUUGGGAUAACUUCAGGAAACUGGGGCUCAUACCGGAUAUGAUCUCCUGCUGCAUGGUGGUGGUUGGAAAGUUUCGGCGGUUCGGGCUGGACUCGCGGCUUAUCAGCUUGUUGGUGGGGUAGUGGCUUACCAAGGCUUUGACGGGUAGCCGGCCUGAGCGGGUGACCGGCCACAUUGGGACUGAGAGACGGCACAGACACCUACGGGAGGCAGAAGGGGGGAAGAUUGAACAAUGGGCGGAAGCCUGAUGCAGCAACUCCGCGGGCGGGAUGACGGCCUUAGGGGUGUAAACCGAUUUCGCCUGUGACGAAGCGUGAGUGAAGGUAAUGGGUAAAGAAGCACAGGCUAAAUACGUG
rnacentral:rRNA from 1 species